rnacentral:antisense_RNA from 1 species
UGGGCUCGCGCGGGACGUUCCGGAAUCCCAGGAAUGCAUCCCUUCCGGCCUGAGAGCCUGCCUGGCCCUGACUCCCGACCCGCUCCUCCUCCGAAGAGAGAUCGGGGCCGCUGACAGGGGCCCUCCGCAGCCACGGGGAUGGGAUGGGGAUCGGUUCCCGUCCCGGUGCAGCCGCCGCCGGCAGACCGCCUGGCUUGGCCGCAGCCAGGGCGACAUGUAGCCCGGUUCUGCCAGGCUGGGAGCGCCAGCCAUCUUGGAAGUUGCCAGGCAGCUGUCGCCAGCAGCAGCAGACCUGUGGAGAGGAAGAGUAAGGCGGGCUCUGCAGGGCAGUGGCCGGGACCAUAAGAGAGGCGGGUCAGUCUGGGCUCCAAGCUCAGCCUCUCGGAUUCCCCGGGACCCCACGGCUUAUAAUGCGCUUAAAUCCCACGCCUCGCCCGAGAGACAGCACUCACCGGUCACCGCCUAGCGCCCCCGACCCGCUCCCACUCUCGCGCAGCGGAGGGUGUGUGAGGGAGAGAGGGACGCAGGAGGGGAAAAGCGUUGAGAGGGCGAACAUCUUUCAUAAGUUUUUCCCCUUCUAUAUGCCAUCUCUGAUGGGAGCCUCUUUAGAUCUUUCGUCCAUUACUAAUUGGGUUGUUGAUUUCUUAUUGUUGAGUUGUAAGUGGUUUUUAAUGGUCUGGAUGCCAGACAGGGUUUUGCAAAUAUUUUCUCCGUCUGUGGCUUGUUUCUCCAUUCUCUAAUAUUUCCUUUCCCAGAGCAAAAGUUUUUAAUUGUAACGACUUCAUACCAUAUCUUCUUUUCAUGGUAGAAAUUUGUCUUUUGUGUACUUUAGUGUUGUAUCUACAAAGUAAUUGCCAAACCCAAAGUUACCUAAAUAUCCCUUUUGUUAUUUUACAGAAGUUUUACAGCUUUUGGAUUUAAAUUAGGUCUAAAAAAUUGAACUCAUAAAAGUAGAGAGUAUAAUGUGCUUACCAGAGGCUGUGUUGCGGGAGAAAAAUGGGAAGUUGUUCACAGGUGCAAAGAUUCAGUUCAACAUGAGAAAUGCGUUUUGAAAUCUAUUGCACAGCAGGAUGACUAUAGUCAAUAAUAAUGUACUGUAAUUUCAAUAACAAAAAGUAAAUUUCAAAUAUCUAACCACAAAAAA